GCUGGCGGCGUGCUUAACACAUGCAAGUCGAACGCGCAGCAUUCUGUAGCAAUACAGGGUGUGGGCGCGUGGCGAACGGGUGCGUAACACGUGGAUAACCUUCCUUGAGGUGGGGAAUAACCCAGUGAAAAUUGGGCUAAUACCGCAUAACAUCGCGAUGGCACAUGCUGUUGCGAUCAAAGGCGCAAGUCGCCACAAGAGGGAUCCGCGGCCGAUUAGCUUGUUGGCGAGGUAAUGGCUCACCAAGGCAAUGAUCGGUAGCCGGACUGAGAGGUUGGCCGGCCACACUGGAACUGAGACACGGUCCAGACUCCUACGGGAGGCAGCAGUGGGGAAUCUUGCACAAUGGACGAAAGUCUGAUGCAGCAACGCCGCGUGGGGGAUGAAGCUUCUCGGAGUGUAAACCCCUUUCGACCCGGAAGAAUGCCCGCAAGGGUAUGACGGUACGGGUAUAAGAAGCCCCGGCUAACUACGUGCCAGCAGCCGCGGUAAUACGUAGGGGGCCAGCGUUGCUCGGAAUUACUGGGCGUAAAGGGU
rnacentral:rRNA from 1 species